UUUGCAACCGCCUGGGACGCCGCCGAGUAGUCUGUGCAGGUUCGCGGGUCGCUGGCGGGGGUCGUGAGGGAGUGCGCCGGGAGCGGAGAUAUGGUAAGCACCGGGUCCAGGGAGGGGUUCGGCGGUGGAGGUCGGUCGGUUGGCAACAGUGGGGUCUGUCGGCCGACUCAGGGGUCUGUGGUGAGCCAUAACCGGAGUCUGUGGACUGAACGGCGGGAGUCUAUGGGCAGAAUGAUGAACCAUCUGGGAGUUCUAUGGAGGGAGAUGGUUCAGACCCAGAGCCUCCAGAUGCCGGGGAGGACAGCAAGUCGGAGAAUGGGGAGAAUGCGCCCAUCUACUGCAUCUGCCGCAAACCGGACAUAAACUGCUUCAUGAUCGGGUGUGACAACUGCAAUGAGUGGUUCCAUGGGGACUGCAUCCGGAUCACUGAGAAGAUGGCCAAGGCCAUCCGGGAGUGGUACUGUCGGGAGUGCAGAGAGAAGGACCCCAAGCUAGAGAUUCGCUAUCGGCACAAGAAGUCACGGGAGCGGGAUGGCAAUGAGCGGGACAGCAGU
rnacentral:sRNA from 1 species